AUUGAACGCUGGCGGCAGGCCUAACACAUGCAAGUCGAGCGGAUGAAGGGAGCUUGCUCCUGGAUUCAGCGGCGGACGGGUGAGUAAUGCCUAGGAAUCUGCCUGGUAGUGGGGGAUAACGUCCGGAAACGGGCGCUAAUACCGCAUACGUCCUGAUGGAGCAAGUGGGGGAUCUUCGGACCUCACGCUAUCAGAUGAGCCUAGGUCGGAUUAGCUAGUUGGUGGGGUAAAGGCCUACCAAGGCGACGAUCCGUAACUGGUCUGAGAGGAUGAUCAGUCACACUGGAACUGAGACACGGUCAAGACUACUACGGGAGGCAGCAGUGGGGAAUAUUGGGCAAUGGGCGAAAGCAUGAUCCAGCCAUGCCGCGUGUGUGAAGAAGGUCUUCGGAUUGUAAAGCACUUUAAGUUGGGAGGAAGGGCAGUAAGUUAAUACCUAGCUGUUUUGACGUUACCAACAGAAUAAGCACCGGCUAACUACGUG
rnacentral:rRNA from 1 species